rnacentral:rRNA from 1 species
ACUCCUACGGGAGGCAGCAGUAAGGAAUCUUCCACAAUGGACGAAAGUCUGAUGGAGCAACGCCGCGUGAGUGAAGAAGGUUUUCGGAUCGUAAAACUCUGUUGUAAGGGAAGAACAAGUACAGUAGUAACUGGCUGUACCUUGACGGUACCUUAUUAGAAAGCCACGGCUAACUACGUGCCAGCAGCCGCGGUAAU